rnacentral:tRNA from 1 species
GGUGUGGCUCAACAGUAGAGCACCUGCCUAGCAUGUAGGAGACCUUGGGUUCCACUCCCAGCACC